rnacentral:rRNA from 1 species
UAGGGAAUAUUGGACAAUGGGGGCAACCCUGAUCCAGCCAUGCCGCGUGAGUGAAGAAGGCCCUCGGGUUGUAAAGCUCUUUUGUCCGGAAAGAAAAGCAUUCGGUGAAUACCCGGAUGUUCUGACGGUACCGGAAGAAUAAGCACCGGCUAACUUCGUGCCAGCAGCCGCGGUAAUACGAAGGGUGCAAGCGUUACUCGGAAUUACUGGGCGUAAAGCGUGCGUAGGUGGUUGUUUAAGUCUGAUGUGAAAGCCCUGGGCUCAACCUGGGAAUGGCAUGGGAAACUGGGCAGCUAGAGUGCGGUAGAGGGUAGUGGAAUUCCCGGUGUAGCAGUGAAAUGCGUAGAGAUCGGGAGGAACAUCUGUGGCGAAGGCGACAGCCUGGACCAGCACUGACACUGAGGCACGAAAGCGUGGGGAGCAAACA